rnacentral:lncRNA from 1 species
GUAAACAAUGUAGAUGGCAGGAUAUGUGACUGGGAAUCUGCUGAGAAUGUCUUCACAUUACUCACAAGUUAAUAAUUUCCCUAAGAGUGGGAGUUUCUUGAGGAUGUUUAGGAUUUAUUUUUAAGCCUUUUAGAGCUUUGGAAUAACACUCACAGUUUCUUUUUUACUAUUUUCAUGGUGUUCAGAGAUUUCAAGCCCACAUUUUAGAACCCACCCACCUUCAACAGAUGUAGACAAAUUAGAAAUACGCAGGGACCUCUCAAACUCAUUACAGAGCUUAUUUGGAACAUGUGAAUUAUAUAUGCAUUUUCUACCUCAUUAUCUUCAUGGGACACUGUAUAUUGAUUUCAUUGUAAAUCUGCAAUGGUAGCAUCUCACUGUAUAUAACCUGCAACUGUGUCCCCAAGCUAUUAUCAUUUGUGCUAAUGACAAUGCUACCUCCUUUUCACAAUUAGUGCUGUGGAGUAUAUAAGUCAAGAGGCAUUUGCUACGAACCUACUAGGUAGAUACCAAUGCACUAGGGCCUGGGAGGGAAAUAUGCCCUCAGAAGAUUUGCCCCUCCCUGCCUGGUAAAAGAGGCUUCUGAAAAAUUAUAAAGGGAGGAAAAAACCAGUGAGGAAUCUGCAUUUCAAUCAGAUCUGCCCGUGUUUCCAGGUUACCUGAUGGGAAAACAAACCAUCGAGCUUGCUUACCAUUUGUUGAUUUCACAGAUAAUUUUAUUCCAAGUGUGAGUAGACCUAAAAGACAUGCAAAGAUCAAUGCAAUGUGAUUAAAUGAGACUGAAUCAAUAAAUUCCAAAAAGUAU